GGACCUAACCGAGCGAACGCACACGGGAUACCUGACAUACUGUUACAUGAUUGAAACCAACGCAACCCACAUUACAGUUACAGCUAGCUCGAUGCAGGAGGCCAACUGAACACACCGAUGUGCUUGGCGCCUGCAGCACUCCAAAGGUUGGCCUCCUCAGCGAUAUCGUGGGAGAGCUGUGUGGGGGUCUUCUGUGAAGCUCUCUGGAAAACGCGGUCGUUUCGUUGCUUCCAAAUUCGCCAACAGACCAACAUGAGCCCUUUCUUUUGUCAGCGCUGAUCAUCUCCCAUUUGUGCAACCACCAAUCAACCUCCAUCUGCAACUGGUGAGUGAUGACUGAUGACAGUGAGCGUCGGACGAUCGUCAGACUUAGCUUGAAGCACAGAGAGAUGCAGGCCGUUUUUUAUCUGAUCAUCAUGUUGCUCAAUGGCAUCCAGCGCGACGAGCGAGGAAGAAGAGUGGAAGAAGAUCUCUUCCUCGAAGCGGACAUACCGAGCCGGUGAACACCGGAUGGCGCCCGGGGAGAGCGCGCCGCCGACGCGGCGAGGUUUGCCAGCUACUAGUUCUAACCUGCACGGUGCUGCGCCGGCGUCGGCAGCGCCGCGGCGAACUGCGACAAGGGGAAGCAGCUCGCUUUCUGCUCGAGGUACACG
rnacentral:lncRNA from 1 species